rnacentral:rRNA from 1 species
UAGAGUUUGAUCCUGGCUCAGAUUGAACGCUGGCGGCAUGCUUUACACAUGCAAGUCGAACGGCAGCGCGGGCUUCGGCCUGGCGGCGAGUGGCGAACGGGUGAGUAAUAUAUCGGAACGUACCCAGAAGUGGGGGAUAACGUAGCGAAAGUUACGCUAAUACCGCAUACGAUCUACGGAUGAAAGUGGGGGACCUUCGGGCCUCAUGCUUUUGGAGCGGCCGAUAUCUGAUUAGCUAGUUGGUGAGGUAAAGGCUCACCAAGGCGACGAUCAGUAGCUGGUCUGAGAGGACGACCAGCCACACUGGGACUGAGACACGGCCCAGACUCCUACGGGAGGCAGCAGUGGGGAAUUUUGGACAAUGGGCGCAAGCCUGAUCCAGCAAUGCCGCGUGAGUGAAGAAGGCCUUCGGGUUGUAAAGCUCUUUUGUCAGGGAAGAAACGGUCUAGGCUAAUAUCCUGGGCUAAUGACGGUACCUGAAGAAUAAGCACCGGCUAACUACGUGCCAGCAGCCGCGGUAAUACGUAGGGUGCAAGCGUUAAUCGGAAUUACUGGGCGUAAAGCGUGCGCAGGCGGUUUUGUAAGUCUGUCGUGAAAGCCCCGGGCUUAACCUGGGAAUUGCGAUGGAGACUGCAAGGCUUGAAUCUGGCAGAGGGGGGUAGAAUUCCACGUGUAGCAG